AGGGUUUGAUCCUGGCUCAGGAUGAACGCUAGCGGCAGGCCUAACACAUGCAAGUCGAGGGGUAGUUACUUUCGGGUAAUGAGACCGGCGCACGGGUGCGUAACGCGUAUGCAAUCUACCUUUUACAGGGGAAUAGCCCAGAGAAAUUUGGAUUAAUGCCCCAUAGUAUGUAUGAAUCGCAUGGUUUAUACAUUAAAGUUCCAACGGUAAAAGAUGAGCAUGCGUCCCAUUAGUUAGUUGGUAAGGUAACGGCUUACCAAGACGAUGAUGGGUAGGGGUCCUGAGAGGGAGAUCCCCCACACUGGUACUGAGACACGGACCAGACUCCUACGGGAGGCAGCAGUGAGGAAUAUUGGACAAUGGGCGCAAGCCUGAUCCAGCCAUGCCGCGUGCAGGAAGAAGCAUCUAUGGUGUGUAAACUGCUUUUGUACGGGAAGAAACACUCCUACGUGUAGGAGCUUGACGGUACCGUAAGAAUAAGGAUCGGCUAACUCCGUGCCAGCAGCCGCGGUAAUACGGAGGAUCCAAGCGUUAUCCGGAAUCA
rnacentral:rRNA from 1 species